UUACCUACGGGGGGCGGCAGUGGGGAAUAUUGCACAAUGGGGGAAACCCUGAUGCAGCGACGCCGCGUGAGUGAAGAAGUAUUUCGGUAUGUAAAGCUCUAUCAGCAGGGAAGAAAAAAGACGGUACCUGACUAAGAAGCCCCGGCUAACUACGUGCCAGCAGCCGCGGUAAUACGUAGGGGGCAAGCGUUAUCCGGAUUUACUGGGUGGAAAGGGAGCGUAGACGGUGAGACAAGUCUGAAGUGAAAGCCCGGGGCUCAACCCCGGGACUGCUU
rnacentral:rRNA from 1 species